rnacentral:rRNA from 1 species
GAUGAACGCUGGCGGCGUGCUUAACACAUGCAAGUCGAACGGAAAGGCCCAAGCUUGCUUGGGUACUCGAGUGGCGAACGGGUGAGUAACACGUGGGUGAUCUGCCCUGCACUUCGGGAUAAGCCUGGGAAACUGGGUCUAAUACCGGAUAGGACCACUUCUUGGAUGUUGUGGUGGAAAGUUUUUUCGGUGUGGGAUGAGCUCGCGGCCUAUCAGCUUGUUGGUGGGGUAAUGGCCUACCAAGGCGUCGACGGGUAGCCGGCCUGAGAGGGUGUACGGCCACAUUGGGACUGAGAUACGGCCCAGACUCCUACGGGAGGCAGCAGUGGGGAAUAUUGCACAAUGGGCGCAAGCCUGAUGCAGCGACGCCGCGUGGGGGAUGACGGCCUUCGGGUUGGAAACUCAUUUCGCUAGGGACGAAGCGUUUUGUGACGGUACCUGGAGAAGAAGCACCGGCUAACUACGUG